rnacentral:tRNA from 1 species
GGGCCUGUAGCUCAAUGGUUAGAGCAGCAGACUCAUAAUCUGUUGGUUGGGGGUUCAAGUCCCUCCGGGCCCACCA